GUGCACCAGUCGCGAAAACUUCACACUGUGCGAAAGCACGAUGAGGGAAUCCCAAGUGCUUGCACGUAAGUGUAAGCUGUUUCUCUGUCUAAAACGCAGAGAGAGUAAGGGCUGGGUAAGACGGGUGCCAGCCGCCGCGGUAAUACCUGCAGCUCAAGUGGUGACCGUUAUUAUUGGGCCUAAAACGUCCGUAGCCGGUUUAAUAAAUGCCUGGGUAAAUUGUGUAGCUUAACUGUACGAAUUCCGGGUAGACUGUUAAACUUGAGACCGGGAGAAGUUAGAGGUACUCCUGGGGUAGAGGUGAAAUUCUGUAAUCCUAGGGGGACCACCAGUGGCGAAGGCGUCUAACUAGAACGGGCCUGACGGUGAGGGACGAAGCCCUGGGGCGCAAACGGGAUUAGAUACCCCCGUAGU
rnacentral:rRNA from 1 species